AAGGAAAAGGGCAUGGGUUUCAGUGUGCCCACGUGGUGUUCCGGCUCCUGCUUGCGGGGUUCUAGCCCGCUUUCGUUAGCUUCCCUUCCUGUCUUAGCGAUUUCGGGCGCCAACGUUGGUCAGGACAGCCGUGUGGACAGUGCCUAACCAGCUCCCCUAAUUGUGCGAGUCCGUUCCUAACAAUUCGGCUGAGCCUGAUCCUCCGUCAUCUGUCAAGCGUAGCUGCCACCAAGAAGCCUCUCAACAGUCCAGGCUGCUUCAGCCUGGGUCACAAGGCUCCAAAGCCAAGAAGUCCAGUGAUAAGUUCCAGACAGCCAUAUACCACAUCAUCCGAGGUCAUGACACCUUGAGGCGCGCGUGGGGCAGAAGCAAUGUCUACCAUAUCAUUUCCAUAAGAAAUAAGAGCUGGAGAAGUUGCUAUUCAGAGAUCAGGAUCAAGAGAGAGAUUCUUCAGGAUGUUGGAAGAAUGUGAACACCAGUAUCAUUUCUGCCUGUGACAUUGAUUUGAGUCUUGGUGGGAACUUUUGGCUCCAUUCAUGCUGACUAGGUCAGCACAUGAAAAGAACAUAAACAUGGAGAGUGGGGCUUAGUGUACUGCACCUGGGAAGGGUGAUGACGGCAGGAUGUCUUCAAGGAGCGACUGACAGACAACUAGGAUGAUUCAGACUUGGGCAUUUGGCAGACAUUUUUUGAAAAAGGAACCAAGCGAGCCUGUCACUUCAAGGAAAACAACUUUCUGAAGACUGGUAUGUCCAGGAUCGAGGUGCUGGCAGAUUUUUUUUUGUCUAGGAAAGGCCUUCAUCCUGGCUCAUAGAUGAUCAUCUCCUUGCUAUGGCCCACGUGGUACAAGGGGCAAGGAAGCUCUCUGGGGUCUUUCUUAUAAGGGCACUAAUCCUGAGGCACCUGGGGGGCUUAGUCAGUUGAGCAUCUGACUCUUGAUUUUGGUUCAGGUCAUGAUCUCACGGUUCA